UUUUCAGCUGCGUCUUACGGUCCCAAGAAAACUCCAGAAACAGUGGACACAUUUACAACUCUGUCAUCAGCAGUGUCAAACAGCUCCACUCUGUCUUCAAACAAUAAACAUAAUAUCACUGAUGUGUCAGCAUCAAACACGACCCUGAAUACUCCGACACCUUCUGCACAAGCAACACAAGCAGCCGGAAGUGUACCAUAUUUGAUUGCUGGUCUUAUUUUUACAUUCGCCUUAGUGAUGGCCGUGCUGCUGCUUACCAGGAAGCUGAUGAAGAGAGGACAGAGAGGCCUUGAUGUCAGCUCCCCACACAAGAAUGACUGUGGCUGCGAGGGAGUGCGGUCGUCUUUCAACCAGAAGGUUGUGGGUUCGAUCC